AUCCAGCUGACGAGUCCCAAAUAGAACGAAACGCGUGUUCUGGAU
rfam:Schistosoma mattheei strain Denwood, Zambia genome assembly, scaffold: SMTD_contig0002050